AGUGAACGCUGGCGGUAGGCCUAACACAUGCAAGUCGAACGGCAGCACAGUAAGAGCUUGCUCUUACGGGUGGCGAGUGGCGGACGGGUGAGGAAUACAUCGGAAUCUACUUUUUCGUGGGGGAUAACGUAGGGAAACUUACGCUAAUACCGCAUACGACCUACGGGUGAAAGCAGGGGAUCUUCGGACCUUGCGCGAUUGAAUGAGCCGAUGUCGGAUUAGCUAGUUGGCGGGGUAAAGGCCCACCAAGGCGACGAUCCGUAGCUGGUCUGAGAGGAUGAACAGGCCAACUGGGAACUGAGACAGGGCCAAGACCCCGGCGGGAGGCACCAGUGGGAAUAUUUGAAAAAGGGGGGCAAGCUGGACCCGCCCAUCCCGGGGGGGAAAAGACGGCUUUGGGUUGUAAAGCCCUUUUGGUGGGAAAAAAAAAGAAGCAGUUAAAUCCCCCGGUUUUUGGAGGGAACCAAAAAAAAAAGCACGGGCAAGUUUGGGC
rnacentral:rRNA from 1 species